UACGUAGGGCGCAAGCGUUAUCCGGAAUUAUUGGGCGUAAAGAGCUCGUAGGCGGUUUGUCGCGUCUGCCGUGAAAGUCCGGGGCUCAACUCCGGAUCUGCGGUGGGUACGGGCAGACUAGAGUGCAGUAGGGGAGACUGGAAUUCCUGGUGUAGCGGUGAAAUGCGCAGAUAUCAGGAGGAACACCGAUGGCGAAGGCAGGUCUCUGGGCCGAUACUGACGCUGAGGAGCGAAAGCAUGGGUAGCGAACAGG
rnacentral:rRNA from 1 species